AUGGCCGAGCAUGGGAAAAUCCCUUUGGCCAUGGAGAUGAGCUACGAGGUGCCACAUCAUAUGGGCCUCCAACACCAACACGGUGACAAGACGGUCGAGCAAGGGCCAUUCCCUUCGACCACGGCGACGAGCGCAAACCUCUUCAACAACAUGAAGACGACAUCCAUAUUGGACUCAUACUCCGAGUCAAGCUACACGACCGCGCAUGGAGACAUUUGCACCUACAUCUCUCUGACACCCACAUAUGUCGAGAUGCCCCAAGUGCCAUGUGAGGAGAGCCACCACCCCAUGAGUGAGAUGAGUGACUCCACCAUACAUGACAUUGAGAGCAUUUCCGAUGAGAGGAUGAGUGUGACCACCACUAGCCCCACACAUGAGAGCAUGCCACACAUCCUAUGUGAGGUUGAGCGCCAUUUGAGUAACUCCACCAACCAUAUGAGUGAGAGCAUCCUUGAGGGAGUGAGUGAACCACAACACUUAGAGAGUGAGGUAGUUGACACGGCAUGUGAGGCCACUAUGAUUUCUAACGACUUAACCUCUACUCCUAGUGUGUUUUCUUCUUUGGUGCUAGGUCUCCUACAUGACGACAUACCUAUCCUCGAUGAGUCCAUCCCUCCAAUGUAA
rnacentral:rRNA from 1 species